UUAGGACUACACCACUGGGACACAGCUGUACCAGCUCAAAACCUCCCGCAGCGUUGCGUACUGUAACUGCAGUCUGUGUAUGGAUGAUCUGGAGGAAAGCAGGAGCCAGGCUCUCAAAGAGCUGCUGCGUGAUUAUUUCGACAAGAGGAGAAACCUGGACCUGAGCAAACACUAUCAGGAGGACGAGGAGGAGCUCAACAAAUGCAAGAUGAGGGACUGGGAGGCUCAGAUCUGUGCGGACAUCAGAGGUUUCCUGUCCAGUCGCAGUGAUUAGAAGUUCUCUGGUCGAGCCGUGGCCAGAAUCUUCCAUGGCAUCUGAAGUCCGUGUUAUCCAGCGCAGACGUACGGACGUGACCGAAGAUACUGGAGGAAAUCUAUUGUGUUCACAUGUUGUAUUUUAUAACUUCAUAUAUAAUA